rnacentral:rRNA from 1 species
UACGUAGGGGGCAAGCGUUGUCCGGAUUUACUGGGCGUAAAGAGCGCGCAGGCGGUCGUUUAAGUCGGGUGUGAAAGCCCCCGGCUCAACUGGGGAGGGUCACGCGAUACUGAUCGACUCGAAGGCAGGAGAGGGUAGUGGAAUUCCCGGUGUAGUGGUGAAAUGCGUAGAUAUCGGGAGGAACACCCGUGGCGAAGGCGGCUACCUGGCCUGGUAUUGACGCUGAGGAGCGAAAGCGAGGGGAGCAAACGGG